GAUGAACGCUAGCGGCAGGCUUAACACAUGCAAGUCGAGGGGUAUAGUAGCAAUACUAGAGACCGGCGCACGGGUGCGUAACGCGUAUGCAACCUACCUUUUACAGAGGGAUAGCCCAGAGAAAUUUGGAUUAAUACCUCAUAGUGUUAUUAGAUGGCAUCAUUUGAUAACUAAAGUUCCAACGGUAAAAGAUGGGCAUGCGUCCUAUUAGCUAGAUGGUAAGGUAACGGCUUACCAUGGCUACGAUAGGUAGGGGUCCUGAGAGGGAGAUCCCCCACACUGGUACUGAGACAC
rnacentral:rRNA from 1 species